UGUUACUGAUUCCUACCUUCUGACGAACCAUCAUGUCAUUAGUUUGGUGUGGUGGGGAAUCAGGACUGUUACUUUGAAAAAAUUAAAGUGUUUAAAGCAGGCUCGCGCUUGAAUACAUUACCAUGGAAUAAUGAAAUAGGACGUUGAUCCUGUUUUGUUGGUUUCUAGGAUUGACGUAAUGAUUAAUAGGGAUAGUUGGGGGCAUUAGUAUUCAAUUGUCAGAGGUGAAAUUCUUGGAUUUAUUGAAGACUAACUACUGCGAAAGCAUUUGCCAAGGAUGUUUUCAUUAAUCAAGAACGAAAGUUAGGGGAUCGAAGACGAUCAGAUACCGUCGUAGUCUUAACCAUAAACUAUGCCGACUCGGGAUCGGAUGAUGUUAAUUUUUUAAUG
rnacentral:rRNA from 1 species